UACGAGGGGGGCAAAUGUUGUUCGGAAUCACUGGGCGUAAAGGGCGCGUAGGCGGUCGUGACAAGUCACUUGUGCAAUCUCCGGGCUUAACUCGGAACGGUCAAGUGAUACUGUCGGACUAGAGUACAGAAGGGGCAACUGGAAUUCUCGGUGUAGCGGUGAAAUGCGUAGAUAUCGAGAGGAACACCUGCGGCGAAGGCGGGUUGCUGGGCUGAUACUGACGCUGAUGCGCGAAAGCCAGGGGAGCGAACGGG
rnacentral:rRNA from 1 species